rnacentral:rRNA from 1 species
GACGAACGCUGGCGGCGUGCUUAACACAUGCAAGUCGAACGGAAAGGCCCUGCUUUUGUGGGGUGCUCGAGUGGCGAACGGGUGAGUAACACGUGAGUAACCUGCCCUUGACUUUGGGAUAACUUCAGGAAACUGGGGCUAAUACCGGAUAGGAGCUCCUGCUGCAUGGUGGGGGUUGGAAAGUUUCGGCGGUUGGGGAUGGACUCGCGGCUUAUCAGCUUGUUGGUGGGGUAGUGGCUUACCAAGGCUUUGACGGGUAGCCGGCCUGGGAGGGUGACCGGCAGCAUGGGGACUGAGAUACGGCCCAGAAUGCUACGGGAGGCAACGGUGGGUAAUAUUGCACAAUGGGCGGAAGCCUGAUGCAGCAACGCCGGGUGCGGGAUGACGGCCUUCGGGGUGUAAACCGCUUUCGCCUGUGACGAAGCGUGAGUGACGGUAAUGAGUAAAGAAGCACCGGCUAACUACGUG